AUUGAACGCUGGCGGCAGGCCUAACACAUGCAAGUCGAGCGGAGCGGCGGACGGGUGAGUAAUGCCUAGGGAUCUGCCUGGUAGUGGGGGAUCCCGUCCGGAAAAGGGCGCUAAUACCGCACACUUGCAGAUCAGCGUAGGUCGGAUGAGCUAGUGGGUGGGGUAAAGGCCUACCAAGGCGGCGAUCCCUAACUGGCCUGAGAGGAUGAUCAGUCACACUGGAACUGAGACACUGUCCAGACUCCGACGGGAGUCAGCAGUGGUGAAUAUCGGACAAUGGGCGAAAGCCUGAUCCAGCCAUGCCGCGUGUGUGAAGAAGGUCUUCGGAUUGUAAAGCACGUUAAGUUGGGAGGCGUUACCGACAGAAUAAGCACCGGCUAACUGCGUGCCAGCAGCCGCGGUAAUAC
rnacentral:rRNA from 1 species